rnacentral:rRNA from 1 species
UGUUUGAUCCUGGCUCAGGAUGAACGCUGGCGGCGUGCCUAAUACAUGCAAGUCGAGGGGCAGCGGGUGUAGCAAUACAUGCCGGCGACCGGCGCACGGGUGAGUAACGCGUAUGUAACCUACCUUUUACUGGGGGAUAGCCCCGAGAAAUCGGGAUUAAUACCCCAUAUUAUUAUGAACGGGCAUCCGUUUAUAAUGAAAGCUCCGGCGGUAAAAGAUGGGCAUGCGUGCCAUUAGCUAGUUGGUGAGGUAACGGCUCACCAAGGCUACGAUGGCUAGGGGGUCUGAGAGGAUGAUCCCCCACACUGGUACUGAGACACGGACCAGACUCCUACGGGAGGCAGCAGUGAGGAAUAUUGGGCAAUAGGCGCAAGCCUGACCCAGCCAUGCCGCGUGCAGGAUGAAGGCCCUAUGGGUUGUAAACUGCUUUUGUACGGGACGAAACUCCCGAUCGUGAUCGGGACUGACGUACUGUACGAAUAAGCAUCGUACUCCUG